UACGAAGGGUGCAAGCGUUACUCGGAAUCACUGGGCGUAAAGCGUGCGUAGGCGGUUUCUUAAGUCUGUCGUGAAAGCCCUGGGCUCAACCUGGGAAUGGCAUUGGAAACUGGCGACCUAGAGUGCGGUAGAGGGUAGUGGAAUUCCCGGUGUAGCAGUGAAAUGCGUAGAGAUCGGGAGGAACAUCCGUGGCGAAGGCGACUACCUGGACCAGCACUGACACUGAGGCACGAAAGCGUGGGGAGCAAACAGG
rnacentral:rRNA from 1 species